rnacentral:tRNA from 1 species
GGAGAGUUGUCCGAGCGGUUUAAGGUGCGGCUCUCGAAAAGCCGUGUGCUGAAAAGCACCGUGGGUUCGAAUCCCAUGCUCUCCG